UGAUGCCGGAAGGGGGUCUUGUGCCUUUUCGUAGUUAGGGGGAAGCAGCCGUCAGAUGAAGCAGGAUUCGAUGAAUCCUGUUUCAGGCAUCUGCUCUGCAGCCCCUGGAGGGAUCCUCAGGUUCACCGCUCGGUCUCACAGGCGUUGUGAUUUGACGUUUUCCAGAUGAGAGCAGACCCAGCUGGCAAGUGCAGAGGGCAGCCAGGGUCAGCUUCCAGUGAGACUUCAGAUACACAAUGCAGAAGAGGUUUCCAUCAAUUCUGGAAGGUAGGUUUGUGCUUGCUGGCUUUGGAAAGAUGGCUGAAGCUUCUCUUGCAUCUUACAUAUAAAACAGAUCGUAUUAUUGCUUAAAACUACACCAGGAGAGAUUGCAGAAGUAUUUGUUGUUACAUGUAGGUGUCUGAAGUGCUGGAUGGAGACCUCAGAACUGCAGGGCUCUAUGUCCAAACAAACUAGCCAUAAAAUCACUAAGUUACAGCUAACAGAUUUUCCUGUUUUUCAGUUUAUUACAAAUCCAAUGAGUGGUCUGGAAUUCACGGCAUAAGGGAGAAUGACCAAAUGGCAUGGUUAAGCAGCAAGAAUUAAAGUAAGAGAGGGUGAUAGAGAAAAUAAUUAUUUUGCCGUAGUUAUUGUAAAAAUUACGAUGCCCAGCUCAUCUUUUUGAUUUCUUGCCUUUGUACUUCUUUUUCAGCCCUGUGUGCCUGAACUGUUUUUUCCUUUUGAUGAUGCUUUUCACAUCCCUAUUGUGAAGCCACCUGUCACGCUCUACUUCCCACUUGAUCUGUUUGAUAUCUGGAAAGAGGAAAGAUGGAAGAUAAGAAGUCAGGAGCUGAUAGAUACUUCUGAACAUCAUGUGGAAUACAGAUAAAUCAUGUAGAAGUUAAAACUUGACUAAUUUAUUUAUAAACGUUAAUAAAAUGCAAACUGCUGAUUUUUUUGACA